CCUACGGGUGGCAGCAGUGGGGAAUAUUGCACAAUGGGGGAAACCCUGAUGCAGCGACGCCGCGUGAGUGAAGAAGUAAUUCGUUACGUAAAGCUCUAUCAGCAGUGAAGAAAAUGACGGUACCUGAGUAAGAAGCCCCGGCUAACUACGGGCCAGCAGCCGCGGUUAUACGGAGGGGGCAAGCGUUAUCCGGAUUUAACGGGGGUAAAGGGAGCGUAGACGGGGCGCCAAAGCUGGAGUGAAAUGCCGCAGCAUAACUGCGGAACUGCUUUGGAAACUGGCGAACUAGAGUGCGGGAGGGGUAAGCGGAAUUCCUAGUGGAGCGGUGAAAUGCGUAGAUAUUAGGAGGAACACCGGUGGCGAAGGCGGCUUACUGGACCGUAACUGACGUUGAGGCUCGAAAGCGUGGGGAGCAAACAGGAUUAGAUACCCGAGUAGUC
rnacentral:rRNA from 1 species